rnacentral:rRNA from 1 species
UACGGAGGGUGCAAGCGUUUAAUCGGAAUUACUGGGCGUAAAGCGUGCGUAGGCGGUUCGUUAAGUCUGUUGUGAAAGCCCCGGGCUCAACCUGGGAAUGGCAAUGGAUACUGGCGAGCUAGAGUGUGUCAGAGGAUGGUGGAAUUCCCGGUGUAGCGGUGAAAUGCGUAGAGAUCGAGAAGAACACCGGUGGCGAAGGCGGCCAACUGGACGGUGACUGACGCUGAGACGCGAAAGCGUGGGGAGCAAACAGG